rnacentral:rRNA from 1 species
UACGUAGGGGGCAAGCGUUGUCCGGAAUCAUUGGGCGUAAAGCGCGUGUAGGCGGCUUGGUAAGUCCGCUCUGAAAGCCCGGGGCUCAACCCCGGGAGGCGGGUGGAUACUGUCAAGCUCGAGUCCGGAAGAGGCGAGUGGAAUUCCUGGUGUAGCGGUGAAAUGCGCAGAUAUCAGGAGGAACACCAUGGCGAAGGCAGCUCGCUGGGACGUGACUGACGCUGAGACGCGAAAGCGUGGGGAGCAAACAGG